AUGAGAGGAAAUUGGACUUAAAAGAUUGCCUGAGUAGUUUGAUGCAAAUGCCAUAUUUUACUAAAAGUUCAAAGGAUGGGACAGUGAGUUUAGAAGAGUUUAUGGGUAUUUUGGUCAAUUCAAGAUUUUCAUCUCUACCUGAAGGAGGGAAGACUGAUGUCAGUAUUGUGGAUCCUGUUCUAAAAAAGCCCUGGAUAUAAAACUUACAGAAGAAGGACAACAGGACCUACUAGAAUACCUGUCAGCUACUGAUGAUGAAAAUAUGGAUAUGAAUACAUUGUUAGGGGUUGUGAAGAUGCUUAAAGCUGAACAAAAAAUUGCCAUGUGAAGAUUGAUGAAAGCAGUUUGCUGUUUCCCAUAUUUUUCUCUAUUUUUAAAUUUUUCCUUGUAGUUUGUUAAUUUAGUUUUUUAUUAAAUUGUUAUUAUUUUACCGCAAAUGCAUGACCGUAAAGAAUACAAUGACUGCUUCAUACGUGUGCCCUGAUGGUAAUCAGAUGGCAUCAAUUUUACCCAUUAUUGCUUUUGCAUCAUUAGUGCAAAUGUCAACACAAUUAAAAAGGCAAAUAAUGUCUUCUUAUUAUUAUAAAAAAUAGUUUUGACUUUGUGGACCCCUGGAAUGAUCUUGGAGACUAUCUAGGAUCUGUAGACUCUAUUGACU